GGGCCUGUAGUGUAGCUUGGUAUCACAGGCGGUUCGGGGCCGCCUAACCGGGGUUCAAAUCCUCGCAGGCCCA
rnacentral:tRNA from 1 species